UACGUAGGGUGCUAGCGUUGUUCGGAAUCAUUGGGCGUAAAGCGCGUGUAGGUGGUUAGGUAAGUCGGGUGUGAAAUCCCAGGGCUCAACCGUGGAAGUGCAUCCGAAACUGCCUAGCUAGAGGACGGUAGAGGAAGGUGGAAUUCCUAGUGUAGAGGUGAAAUUCGUAGAUAUUAGGAGGAAUACCGGUGGCGAAGGCGGCCUUCUGGGCCGUUCCUGACACUGAGACGCGAAAGCGUGGGGAGCAAACAG
rnacentral:rRNA from 1 species